UACAGAGGUCCCGAGCGUUGUUCGGAUUCAUUGGGCGUAAAGCGCGCGCAGGUGGUUUCUUAAGUCUGAUGUGAAAGCCCACGGCUCAACCGUGGAGGGUCAUUGGAAACUGGGGAACUUGAGUGCAGAAGAGGAAAGUGGAAUUCCAAGUGUAGCGGUGAAAUGCGUAGAGAUUUGGAGGAACACCAGUGGCGAAGGCGACUUUCUGGUCUGUAACUGACACUGAGGCGCGAAAGCGUGGGGAGCGAACAGG
rnacentral:rRNA from 1 species